GUCCUAUCUCAGAGAAGGUGAUUUCAUGGUGGGAGGAACUGAAAACCCACAAGUUGUCCUCCGACGAUUAUAAAGAGGAAAUUUCACCGUACAACGUCCCGUCGGGCCAGGGAAAAUUCUUUUCCGCCCCGGAACUUCCGUCUGGUUUGAAGAAGGUGUUCAAACAGAUAACCCGCCCGAGUAAUUCUGGUUGGUUUCCGAUGAGGUUUACCUUACUACCGUUACCUUACUACUAGCUUCAAAAAGACACAGAUACCCUGGGAGAACGCAGCUUCACUACCACGCCGGGGAAGGGUCUUUUGUUAUGUUAAUGAGGUAUGUUCUAUUAGCUUCUAAGGGUGGAUCAGAUUGCAAUACGAGAAACAAUCUACAGGGUGAGUCUCUCCUCCAUUGUCUCAUAUAAUUCCAAUUAUAUUGCAGGUAAGUACUUUACAUAAUUGGGGAAUUGUCUCGCACAGAGACUGCUGUACCCAUGCAGCGGUUUAAUCUUUCAAUAGAGGGCGCACC
rnacentral:misc_RNA from 1 species